AUUGAACGCUGGCGGCAGGCCUAACACAUGCAAGUCGAGCGGAUGAAGGGAGCUUGCUCCUGGAUUCAGCGACGGACGGGUGAGUAAUGCCUAGGAAUCUGCCUGGUAGUGGGGGAUAACGUCCGGAAACGGGCGCUAAUACCGCAUACGUCCUGAGGGAGAAAGUGGGGGAUCUUCGGACCUCACGCUAUCAGAUGAGCCUAGGUCGGAUUAGCUAGUUGGUGGGGUAAAGGCCUACCAAGGCGACGAUCCGUAACUGGUCUGAGAGGAUGAUCAGUCACCCUGGAACUGAGACACGGUCCAGACUCCUACGGGAGGCAGCAGUGGGGAAUAUUGGACAGUGGGCGAAAGCCUGAUCCAGCCAUGCCGCGUGUGUGAAGAAGGUCUUCGGAUUGUAAAGCACUUUAAGUUGGGAGGAAGGGCAGUAAGUUAAUACCUUGCUGUUUUGACGUUACCAACAGAAUAAGCACCGGCUAACUUCGUG
rnacentral:rRNA from 1 species